UAGGAACUAGACAGACACCAGGCUGUAGGCGCAGUACCAGACCCCAGGAAGUGUAGAAACAGUACCUGGUCUGAAUAGAAGAAGCCCAGGACGGCUAUGGUCAGCUGAGUGAGGAAGACCAGAGUCAGACUGAAGGAGAACUGGAGAAGAAGAGACGUUACAGAGAUAGUAUUCUGUCAGAGGCAGGGCUCCGAUGCAGCCGCAGAAGGUGAUGAAGAACAUGACCACGCCCACCACGAUCAGGAUGACCGCUGGGUCGAUCAGGAACGUGUCUCUGACCGUGUCUGCAAGAGAUGAACACCGACAACCGUGUGGUGUGACCCACUAGCACAACCUACUAUGAUCUGGGGGGAUCUUUCUGGGCACCUCUACUGGGGAUUUGUUUCACAGUGAUAUCGGAAAGAAUGAAAGGCAAACCAUGUCAUGAAGUUAAGAUUGCAGAAAGCAUAUUUUCAGAUACAGAUGUAUGGCUUGGAAUAUGCAGAAUAAAAUGGGUCAUACCUGUUGCUUUUUGAACCUUUGCAUAUACCCCUAUAGCAACAAUCAGCAAGGAGAAGACCUGAAAGAGGACAAUAAAUCAGAUAUGCAUAUAAUCUCCUUAAAAUAGUAAUAAUACAACUGUUUUAGAUCAGGAAACCCUUAACAGUUAAUAACUUGGGGCUCUAUUCAAUCCGCAUCACAGACGCUCAGUUUAACAGCGUGAUUGAAAUUUAAAGGCAAUGUUCCCGCUUUAGCGGAGACCGCAUUCAUGAUAAACGCUGCAUAUGUCGGCUCAAUCCGAAAUGACCUUUUACAUUUCUAUCGUGGAAUCCGUUACGCUUCAGCCUGACAGAUUGAAUAGAGCCCUUAAAAUGCUGUUUUUUGUUUUUGUUGCUACGGUUUUCAACCUUGGGCUUAGGGCUAUUCAUCAAAUCAGUCGAGGCUUGCCUUCAAUUUUUCUCCAUUUAUUUUGGGGAAUUGUCUAGUUCAUUUGUCAGCUUUUGCUGUGUGGUUUCUUCUUUGCCAAACUAAUCUCAGGCAGAAGAUUUGAUAGUUGUUCCAGCUCUUCAUUUGUAUUUCUAUUAUUUUCUGGCAGACAGACAUUUGGCUACCCUAUUCUUGGAGCUAGAGUUCUUGGAGCUAGAGUCCUUGGAGCUAGAGUCCUUGGAGCUAGCCUUUGUCAGUAGGUGAUGUGUACUUGCAAAAAACAGAGUUCUGUUUUCAAAAUCUAUUUCCCUACAUGAUUGUUAUACCACCUUGAAUGAUGAUUUGUCUUUUGUUUACAGACCCCCUGAUUGGCUUCCUGAUGGCCAAUAGUGUGUGGUUCUGAUGGAGCUUGUACACCGUAGGAUCUCUCUGUGAAAUUAAUUGCACAAGCUCCUAUUUAAACAUACAAAAUUGGUUGUCUCAUACUGCUUUGUCUCGUUGAAAUAAAAAAAUGUGUUUUGCAAGAGAGACUUGCAUUGACCAUUAACAAUCA